rnacentral:lncRNA from 1 species
CAGUAGUGUGACUGAUCUUUUGACCUGAGAUGGUACUACUACUUACAGUGAGGCUGCUAGAGUUUGAUUGACACAUAAAUAUGGAUCUCAAUGAGCCCUUGUAGUGGAUGUUGGCGAUAGUUGAUCCACUAUAGGAGUAGGGUGCGCAUCAAGAUAGAAUGUAUCGAUCCUAGAAGAAGGGAGUAGUCUUAUGAGAUUUAAGAAGCUGAAUCUUUAAGUCUAUAGCCAUAGCAGAGUGAUUAAUGAAAAAGAGUUUUCAUGAGAAUCACAUAUGGACUCGAGCUGAUUGAAUCUAUCAUAUGAUCAAUGAUGAGGUUUGACGAUUCAUCCAUGACCUGCCAUC